AGAAAAAAAGAACCUCGAAAUCAAAAAUUGGAAAGCCAAGAAAGAAAGGAACGACGGAAAAAGAGAGCAGCUUCUUUUGUUUCCGUGCCCCUUGCAUCUCUCCUUUGUCUUUGUCUUUGUCCUUUUCUUCCU
rnacentral:ribozyme from 1 species